rnacentral:lncRNA from 1 species
UUACGUGGAAGCAUUUAGUUCAUGGAUGGUUCAAGUUAAAUCGGUGUUAGCAGUGUUUAUUAAGUUUGCUGUGUUUUAAAGAAUUGUUCGUCUUAAAAUCAACGACUUUCCUUGGUUAUCAGCUAAUCGAACUGCAGACCCUGAGAAUAGUGAGCUAUCCAUGUCUCUGUUUUCGAGCAUGCCUUACCUCACAGAAAAACUUCCUAUUUCAUUUUAGCCUACCAUCAAAUGGAAUAGCAUGAUUAUUUAUACAAUGAUCAUUUCCAUGAAGCCAAAUGCCUGUGGGUUCUGACGCUGAAGAUCUACUAUGACCAAAAUUCCUUAGAAUGUCUUCAUGUUUUCAUCUACUAUGUUUUGCUGUCCGUCAACUAACAUCAUCCCAUUCAGCCAGUAUUCUCGGCUUGUCAACUUAGCCAAUAAUCAACCAUCAGUAUUGAAUGCAUCCACUCCUAACACCUUCACUACUCAAACAACUUCUGUAGACUUCAACAUCCAAUCAAGAUCUUUUUAAAACUUCGUCAUCAGAUCCCAUUUCGACCAGUGCAGUCUUCGUCAUCGUAACCGGGCAACAUGCAUAGACUUAAAUGCCAUCGCCUCAUUGUGAGCUGCCAAUUGUUCAUCAUCGUUUCGAACCAAAAAUCGCCGUUCUAAUACAAAUCAUCCAGUCAUGCGUCGCUACAGAAUUUACCACGUGACGUCUUCUUUGACUGAUACAUGGCAGCGUGGAAGAUUCUUGGACUAAAAAAACUUGUGGUGGGGGCGUACAGAGCAACGUGGAUCGUCACACUUUUUCUGUGGUAUUGUUUGGUUUUGUUUUGUUGUUGCUAGUUAACCCGUUGGCUGCCACCCAUUUGCUCCCCUUUUUUUUUGUAGCUGUAGGGACCGGGCGCGCUGCUCUGCCCUGUGGGGUGGAGCAGUUGCAAUGCCCUUGCCCGCCGCAAGGCGGUUAGGCAAUGCACCAUUAGGGACUUCUCUUUGUUCGAUGCAGUAAUGGUUACCUGAGGGUGUGCAUUCCCUGUAAAGGUUUCCAUCACUGUGUCAGCCCGGACUUGUCUUCGGACAAGUUCCAUCAAUCGUGGAUCCUUCAGACAACGAUGCGUAGUGAGUAGAAAAAACAACCUACGGGUUGUAUGGCGUGGCAGCCAACGGGUUAACUAAUUGUAUAUGUGUAUGUAUGUUUGUAGUUAUGUAUGUAUGUAUGUAUGUAUAGUUGAAACAUGUAAUGUAUAAAAGUGGUGGAAUUGAGGGUGGAAGGCGGGAUAAUAUACAAAAUCAAUUCUUUUU